AAGGAAAGGGAGAAAUUGUAGUGUGCUUCUCAUUUCUCAAAUUAAAGCUUUCAGCCUUUUUUCCUCCUCAGGUUCACAGAGUCACAGAAUACUAAAGUUAGAAGGGCUAGUAAGGCCAUCAGAUCCAAAGCCCUGCUCAAGGCAGGACUCCAAGUGAAAGCAUCAACAUGUUUUUGAGAAUGUUCUAAGACUGUAAUGUGUUCAGGGUGAGUGUAUCAUCAGUGUACAUGUGGAAGAGUGCUUCUUUUUUGCUGUAGCUUAAAUAAAUAAACGCCCAAAUGGCAGCAGGGGUUAUCUUCUGCCUGGCACUGUGGUUACCACAGAAAUGAAGAUUUGGAAAUGAUCCAAGGCUAUUAGCCAGAAUGCGAAGCUGAAGCACCCUGGCACUCUAUUUUAGCCAACAACUUUGGAAUUAUACAAUGAAAAAAUCAGGAGCAAUUACGGCUGACAUGCAUGUGAAAAAUUGAAAAUUCCAGCAGGUGUUGUUGCAUCUGCCAAAACUCUUCUCUUUAGCAGCCUGAACUUUUAAACAAACAAAUUAAUACAUUUUAGCCUCGCUGUAAUAAACUUUCUCAUUUGUUUCAGGUGGCAAAUAAAAUUAUCAGAGACAAGACAGAUGCACUCUUUCUUUCCUAGAAUCUAAAAUGUCCUCCAGAGUAUUUUAUUUUCCCUUAAUUGUGGCAUAUUUCCAAGCAGGUUGCCAGGUAGCAAAAUGGAGAUUAUUAAUAUCUUGUUCACAUCCACAAAGAAGGAAGACCUCAUCUUGUUUUGCAGCUGGUUCAAGGUUGGAGCAUGGAUCUCUGUAAAGGGAAGCUACCUCCCAUUGUUUAAAAAGAAAUGGUCAGUACAAGUCCAAAGCACAGUACACUGUACUGUAAAGUAAACCUUUUCAGCAAAGGUUCCUGGCCUUUGGGGACUGGCCGGCACAUUUGGAAUUUUGAGAAGGUUUUGUGGGUGCUCUCACUCUAGAAAGAAGCAUUUUGAUUUACAGCACACCAGCCACCCAGUUAAAAAUAAUUUCAAGAUCUUCAAUAAUAAAAUAAAAAUGCCAAGGGUCAGGAAGCCUAGCAGGCAUCAGAAGUGUUUACAAACACACUGGUGCCUAUGGACCCCAUGUUGGAGACCGCAGCAUUAGAUCUAUUUCCAAUUCCUUUUGCAAUGACAGAGAUAUGUGUGUGCGCUGUGUGAAAAGGUAAGUAGCAAUUUGGUUAGCUUUUAAAGUAGCUUGGAUUUUUACACGGUUCAGCUUGCUAGAAUGUCCUGCUGAAGCUCGGUCUAGCCAAGAUGGAGGUAGUAUUGAUGGGCAGUUCAGUUGACUUAGCAAGUGGCUUUCAGCUUAUUCUGCAGAGAGAUAAACUCUCCCAAAGGACUUGAUUUGCAGCAUGGGGGGCUCUUAGAUUCAGGCUUGUCUUUGGAGGUCCAAGUAGCUUCUGUGGCAUGAAGGACAUAACAGCAACUUAAGCUCUGUUCUAGUUUCAACCUGAGAAAACCUGGUUAUUAUGGUUAUCCUAACUUUGGUAACAUCCUGUCUGCAUUACUGUAAUGUCUUGUGCACAGUGAAGGCCAUUUGGAAGCUCAGUUCAAAAAGCAGCAGCUGGUUUACUAAUGGGGAUCAGUCAGAUAGAACAUUUCUCACUAGUCCUGAAACACUACACUUGUUCAUGCUUCAUCCUUGGGCACAAUUCAGGAUGCUAACUCUUCUUUCUGAGUCCCCAAAUGACCUUAGCAUGUCCAAGAAUAUGGACAUUCCUGGAGGCCUCUCUGAGGCCCCCAUCCCUUCUGAAGCAAGGAAGCAGAACUCCCAGGAGACUCAUCCGGCACCAAUGUUGAUGCCAAAACAACCUCAAAGGUGUCUGUUUGACUGGAAAUUUAAUGUACGUUUCUGUAUCUGUUUUUAGGCUGGCGUUUUGCUGAGAAUACCCUGAUGCUGCAAUUUGAAACUAUUACAUUUAUGGAGGGUUUUGUAUAAUGCGUUUAAAUUCUAAGCUUCUUUGAAGGUUUUAGUGUCAGAAAAGCAGGACAUCAAUAUUGGUGAUAAAUAUUUAUGAGUGUAAUUUUGGCAACUACAUCAUUCCCACCCUGACUCCAAAUCUCAAAGAUGGCAGCUUGGGCAAGAAGUACUUCUGGUCUUCCAAGAUCUGCCUUCUUGCAGCCUCACUCUGUACCUCCUCCAUUUCCCUUAGAUCACAUCAUGUCUAGUGAGGGGUCUUAAGCAUUUUCAUCUUUAUUGCCACGUUCCUCUCAGGACACAGAAAUCUAGUCAUGGUCUCAUUGACUGCUUAUGAAGGGGGAGUUACCUGGAUACGGACUGGAGUGAGAACACUCAUGCUUCAGCAGUGUUCAUUUUGAUCUGGCUGCUGUAAUGAAGGCAGGAUAAAUCUUCACAAGGCAGCUCUCAAAGGACUGAGAAAGUGAUACUAAACAGCACAACACCACAAUAUGAAAAAAGGACAGAGCAGAACAGCCAAACAAUCUUCUUUAGAAUCCUGGCAGUGCAUCCAGAUUAAAACUGAUCAGAAAUGGCCCUUUUAUCCUUCCUGUCCCACAUCUGAUAAAGGCACAUGACCUUCCAUCUUUUAUAAAAGGUGGCAUUCCUAUCGGUUAAUGCAACUGGAAGUUUUCAUUGUCAGGUGGCUUAACUGAAUCUAGUGAUGUACCACUUUGCAAAAAGCAAGAACUCUAGAGUCAGACAUCCAUAACCUGGCAAUGUAAAGGGAGAGGCUUUAACAGCACAAUCCUCUGAACGUACUUGAAAGUUUCCCCAUUAAGUCCAAUGGGUAGGUAUGCGAUUGCGUUUUAAUGACUCAAUCUUCUGAGAGGAGAAGCAAAACUACACUUAGCAAAGGCAUGCUUUUUCCUUCUGUUUAUGCUCUAUCCAUGACUGAUAGAUCGGCUCAACAGACAUUUUGAGCAGGAAGAUGCAAUAUCUGAUUUUUUCAUGAAACUAGCUGGAUAUUAUAGUGACCUACUCUGCCUAUAACAGUCCUCUCUGAAGAAUUGUCCAACUCAAGUCCAGUUUAAAGGUCUUAACCUGCACCGGAGUUCAGAUCCCUGAGAACUUCUCCAGUGGAAUUCAGCCCUUGCACUGAAAGAAGUUCAGUGCCUCUGAUUUACAAUACUGGCAACAGGAUCCAUGAUGGUGAGAUUUGCAAGAUAAGAACAUAGAGUUGCCCAGACCUUGAAUUACAGUUCAAGAAGCUUGGCACUGAAUGACCACUAUGGAAAAGAGCUGUUCCCUUGAAUACCAAGAGUGGUAAUUCAGCCACACAUUGGGGGAUUUCACUGAUUUGACCUACUUAAUCUUUAGCUUGUAAUUAAUUGUCAAGGCUGUUGUCAGCUCUAGAAAUCUAUUCCUGCUUGCUGGUCCCAAAGAGCUGUGUUUGGUUUUCUUCAAAGUGUUUCCUUCAAAGUAUGAAAUCAAUUGCUCCUGUAGCAUGUUCUCUCUACAAGUAACAAAGUCAAGCCAGGUUCUGUAAUGCCAUCCAAUUUGUUUAAAAAUAUUACUGCUUCUCAGCAUUUUCCUGUGUGAGCCAGGAACAGAUUUAGCUAAAGACACGAGGGGACUUGCAUCUAGGUUAGAUCCAAAGAACUGAACUGGAAGGAUGAUACUUUGGCCAACCUUCAGUGGAGGCUUUUGGGAUGGGACAGGCAGGAGACAGAAAAGCCACUUGGUAGGAGAGAAACCUCAUAUGUGCUUCUCUGGAUUCAAGCUGAUACAGGUAAUCAUUAUGCAUUUAAAAACUCUUACAGAUAUUUCCUGCUUAGACUUCAUUUUUCAAAGCUCAGCUAACCAAAAACUCUCAUUGAUUUAAAUUACUAGAUGUUGCAUUAAGAUAGGACCACCUUCUUCUAAAUGGUAUUUUCUAAUUAAACUUAUUUUUUUAAUCAGUUUGGAUGUCUUUAUCCACUUUGAAGCUGUUUGAUUAGGGCAGUCUAACAGGAUGUCUCAAGUUCUAGUUCCAGAAAUUCUUAAUAUAUAUGUGGGUAUAUAUGAUGGACUUAAGACUUUGCAUAUGAUUUAAGUAUUUGGGAGAAAAAUGUCUAUCCUGCAGUUUCUAGUUGAGAAGGGAACUCCGUUACAACUUCAUUGCAUUUUAUUUAUGUGCAUGGAAAUAGGAUAUCUGCAUAAAAUCAAUCCCAUGGAAAUAGGAUAUCUACAUAAAAAGCUUUUCCAAGAUAGCACCCUCCAGAUUUGCUGUACUACUGCUUCCAUCAUCCCCAACCUGCAUGCUGCUUGGAGAUCUUUAGGGCCUUGUUCUGAAAUAUCUGAAGAACAUCAAUUCCAGGGAGGCUGCAUUAUGCCAAUGGUGACCUGGACAAAGUGCACAAUCCCAUGUAUGCUUAGAUAGAAAUGAGGCCUGCACCUCCCAGCAUUCAUCCAAACAAGGGUUGGAUUAUACCCUAAGAGUCCUACUUCAGAGUAUA